rnacentral:lncRNA from 1 species
UUUUCAGUCUCGUGUGUGUUUAACUGUAUUUAAUAUAUAUUUUUGCUCUUCUCUCGUUUUCUUUACGAAUGAACCUGCCCUUCCGCCUGGCGCGCCCCAAACCUCCCCCGCAUCGCAGGCACCCGGCCGGGUGCAGGCGAGCGCACGCAGGCGGUUGAAGACGCCGGUCCUGGUGCCGCUGGGAUGCGCGGGGCCGCGGGGAGACGACGACGAGGGAGCCGGGCCUCCAGCUCAAGGUCUGCCGGAGCCACUAACCCUGUGGAUCUAACGCGCAGCCGGUGUCUCGGCUCCCCAUCUUGCCGCCACUCUGCACCGGGGUGGGUUUCUUUUCAGGAAGGCCCUUCCCGAAGGAAGUCUGAGGCUUUUGAGGACGAUUUGCCAGGGCAGGCCCUUUAAUGGAGCGAGAUGUGUGGCCCCAGCCUCAGCUCCUCAUGCUUCCAAGAGCAACACUGAGAGGUGUGGACCAGUGGGAGUGAGUGGCAGGCCCUCCAGCAGCUGUUGGGCACCUGAGCCCCCCACAAGCCCAUUCCUGAUCCUUCUCUCAUCUCAAAAUCGGGCCUGAUGGCACCUGUAUCACAUCUUGGAAGCACCAGAGACAAGAAUCACAGAGAAAGCUUAUGGCCGCACCCUGCUGCUCUGCCAAGCACCGGGCCCGAGCCAUGGCCGCAUGAAUACUCUCAUUUGAGGGCACUGAAUCCACAGGUGACGUUCACAUCCAUGCGGGCAAGCCAGACAAUUAAGCGUCGCCCUGAGACACACCCCUUUCCUUCGGCAGCCACCUCCAUGGGGUCAGCAACCCCUGCCAAGCUUACCCCUGAACAGCCACCAGCAAAUCUACUGCUCGCUGUCUCCUGCUGUCCUGGAUCACGGCGACAGCCUCCUGGUAACGACGCUACUGAAUCUGGGAUUAGCCACCCUUUGUCUUCCGAGUGAGUACUCCCUGAACCAUAUGUAGUUCAAGGUGGGAAGUUAUAGUGCAUUUAUUUCUGAAAGUUGCAAUUUCCCCCUCCUAGUUGUGUCUAGAGAUUCACACACACACACACACACACACACACACACACACACACACAGGAAUAUUAUACAGCAAUAAAAAUGAAUGACAAUAAAAUUACCCUACUCA